rnacentral:rRNA from 1 species
AUUGAACGCUGGCGGCAGGCCUAACACAUGCAAGUCGAGCGGAUGACGGGAGCUUGCUCCUUGAUUCAGCGGCGGACGGGUGAGUAAUGCCUAGGAAUCUGCCUGGUAGUGGGGGACAACGUUUCGAAAGGAACGCUAAUACCGCAUACGUCCUACGGGAGAAAGCAGGGGACCUUCGGGCCUUGCGCUAUCAGAUGAGCCUAGGUCGGAUUAGCUAGUAGGUGAGGUAAUGGCUCACCUAGGCGACGAUCCGUAACUGGUCUGAGAGGAUGAUCAGUCACACUGGAACUGAGACACGGUCCAGACUCCUACGGGAGGCAGCAGUGGGGAAUAUUGGACAAUGGGCGAAAGCCUGAUCCAGCCAUGCCGCGUGUGUGAAGAAGGUCUUCGGAUUGUAAAGCACUUUAAGUUGGGAGGAAGGGUUGUACGUUAAUACCGUGCAAUUUUGACGUUACCGACAGAAUAAGCACCGGCUAACUCUGUGCCAGCCGCCGCCGUAACAC